rfam:Eucalyptus grandis cultivar BRASTZ1 unplaced genomic scaffold scaffold_8, whole genome shotgun sequence.
GGGGUAUGAUGAGUGGUCAAAGCUCGCGAUAAGAAAGGAUGCGAGAGGGGUGUACCGGCCCAAAGCCUGGUUACGACAGCCCGGGCACCCCAAUCAUUUGUAACUUCUGAUCCC